rnacentral:tRNA from 1 species
GGGGCGAUUAGCUCAGUUGGUAGAGCAGUUGACUUUUAAUCAAUUGGUCGCAGGUUCGAAUCCUGCACGACCCACCA